rnacentral:rRNA from 1 species
GACAGAGGGUGCAAACGUUGUUCGGAAUUACUGGGCGUAAAGCGUGUGUAGGCGGCCACGUAAGUCGGAUGUGAAAGCCCCGGGCUUAACCUGGGAACUGCGUUUGAUACGGAUGGGCUAGAGUUCGGGAGAGGAGAGUGGAAUUCCCAGUGUAGAGGUGAAAUUCGUAGAUAUUGGGAAGAACACCGGUGGCGAAGGCGGCCCUCUGGACCGAUACUGGACGCUGAGGCGCGAAGGCGUGGGGAGCAAAGCAGG